rnacentral:rRNA from 1 species
GACGUAGGGCGCGAGCGUUGUCCGGAUUUAUUGGGCGUAAAGAGCUCGUAGGCGGCUUGUUGCGUCGUCCGUGAAAACCUGUGGCUCAACUGCAGGCUUGCGGUCGAUACGGGCAGGCUGGAGUUCGGUAGGGGAGACUGGAAUUCCUGGUGUAGCGGUGAAAUGCGCAGAUAUCAGGAGGAACACCGGUGGCGAAGGCGGGUCUCUGGGCCGAUACUGACGCUGAGGAGCGAAAGCGUGGGGAGCGAACAAG